UCGAUUGCAAAACCUAAUCGAAUCCCGUCUCAGCUACACACAUCCCACCAAGAGCCAGCCCCUCGAUCGAUCCGUCACCAUCAGCUAGCGCCCUCUCUGUUUUCGAAAUGAAUUAGUUCAUCGGCAUCCAUGGACCAUGGCCCUGGUGGCGGCACAGCUGCUACCUGAUGGCGUCCUCGCCAGCGUCCUCCGGCAUCUCGCGCCGCGCAGCCUCGCCGCAUCUCGCUGUGUCUGCAAAAGCUGGCGUGCCGUCGUCGACGACUGGCGCCUGCUGCGGACGGAUCUCCUACCGCUAUCCCUCUCCGGGAUCUUCUUCAUGGAGGAGAUCUUUCCGGCCCUCCCGAAAUUCUUCGCGAGCCCGUCGAUAGAUGGCAAGAUCGCAGCCAGGCUCGACUACCUGGACACCAAAUUUGAGGGUUAUUUGCAUAUUAUGGAUCAUUGCAAUGGCCUUCUCUUGCUUUGGGAUCAACUGGUGGUCAAUCCAGCAACUCGACAAUGGGUGCGUCUGCCUCAGCCCCCCUGCGCCGGGUUGGAGGAUUUCGCCGACGACAUGUGCCUUGCUUUCGACCCCACUGUGUCGCCCCAUUACGAGGUACUUCUUCUUCCCGAAGUUCCUCACAAGCUGGGUUCCAUGACAGUAUUCACGGAGGAAUCAGAGUGGCCGCCUUCUUCGUAUACAAUAAGAGCCUUCUCUUCAAGGACAUGGACAUGGGAGGAGAGGGUGUUGGUCCGGAGAGGGGAGGCCGCAGGGGCCAUUGCUGAGAUGCACUCACCUAGGGCUAGGGAACCAGAGCAUCGCUAUGCCGUCUACUGGAAAGGAGAGCUUUAUGUGCACUGCCAAAAUGACUCCAUUAUGCGCAUAACCUUGUCGAAUGGCGAGUAUGAAGUUAUUAAACCGCCUACAAGCAUGGAUGAGUUUACAGAUUUUUAUAUAGGGAAAUCGAAGAGGGGGCUGUACUGUGCUUUAAUUUAUAAAGAUAGAUCAUACCGACUUCAGGUUUGGUUACUUAGUGAAUUGAGGGGUAAAAUGGAGUGGGGGUUGAAGAUUGACACCAGCCUUGUGCCAGUGGUGGCAAUGUUUUCUUGGUUGUCUCAUGAAGAAAAUUCCGGUCCGUGGAUCUUACAUGGUGGUAAUUAUGAUGGAGAUGGUAAAAAAGUGAUCGUGGAUGAUAAAUGUGAAUGGGACUUCAACAAUGGUAUUAUCCUUGAGGCAAGAGAUGGGGAUGAAUGUGACUUUGUGUCUGAUAGUAUUUAUUUCCUUGGAUUUCAUCCGUAUUAUGAGAUUGCCUUCUUGUGGGUAUCAAGAGCAAGAGUAGUUGCCUAUCAUUUGAGUAGCUCGAAAGUUCAAGACUUGGGCAUGUUACACGUACAAUGUGUAGGAGAUUCCUUUCCAUACACACCAUAUUGGACAGGAGAGUUAUUUGAAAAGCAUUAAUUUAUGUUCCCAGGGGUUUGCUUUCGGUGCCAUAUGACUUGUAACUUACAUUGGAUAUGGCUCCGUUGUUAAUCCCUUCCCCGCCAGGAUUCUGGACAAAACGCCGUCGAUUAGCUGGGAUCACUCUGGCAGAGGAUUCUUCCCCGCACACCUUGUUUGGUGCAUCCGGUUGCACAUUCUUCCUCUGCAUACUCUGUUUAUAUACAUCGACUUUUAUAUAUGAAAGCACAAGGAGCUGCAGUAGCAACUUGGUAAUACAAAUAAACUUUGUGCAAGGAGUUAGCAAAAUUACGAGCAUACUUGACAUUUUUCUGAAAACCUUUUGGUGGCACAGUCACAGGUUGCUUGGGCUGUUUUGUUCUGGGAACAAUCACAUUAUUUUAAGUGGCCGAAGAAAAUUAAUUACAGAAAACACUACAUCCCUUUCUAAUGAUUAAUUAUUUUCUGCACAAUACUUCUCAGCUUUAUCAUGUUUUUCUAUAGUCAAGCGUAUCUAAUGGUGUUCCUACAAUAUCAAGUGUUUGACCAGCUCGCUUUUAUGGACUGAAGUUGACAAGGAGAGGUUUAGGACAGUCACUACUUACUAGAGGAGCUCAUGUUCUCUCUUAAAAUUGUACUCCUUGCUAUUCUGAUACCAUUAAAUUUUAGGUUACAAUUUUUCUUACAAACUGUGUGCAUGCUCAGCUGUGGUGUCUUAAAUAGGUGUCUUUUUAACGUUCAUGUAAAUCGGGCAGGAUACCAUUCUCAAUAGUGACUUCUGAACAAUCUAGUGACUUCUCAAGUUCCUGAACAAUCAUCUUGUGCUGUAUUUGGGGAGCGGAAACUUUUGUUGA